AUUGAACGCUGGCGGCAUGCCUUACACAUGCAAGUCGAACGGUAACGGGCCUUCGGGUGCCGACGAGUGGCGAACGGGUGAGUAAUGCAUCGGAACGUACCUUUCAGUGGGGGAUAACGUAGCGAAAGUUACGCUAAUACCGCAUAUUCUGUGAGCAGGAAAGCAGGGGAUCGCAAGACCUUGCGCUGAUUGAGCGGCCGAUGUCAGAUUAGCUAGUUGGUGAGGUAAAGGCUCACCAAGGCGACGAUCUGUAGCGGGUCUGAGAGGAUGAUCCGCCACACUGGAACUGAGACACGGUCCAGAUUCCUACGGGAGGCAGCAGUGGGGAAUUUUGGACAAUGGGGGCAACCCUGAUCCAGCCAUGCCGCGUGAGUGAAGAAGGCCUUCGGGUUGG
rnacentral:rRNA from 1 species